AUUGAACGCUGGCGGCAGGCCUAACACAUGCAAGUCGGACGGUAGCACAGAGAGCUUGCUCUCGGGUGACGAGUGGCGGACGGGUGAGUAAUGUCUGGGGAUCUGCCCGAUAGAGGGGGAUAACCACUGGAAACGGUGGCUAAUACCGCAUAACGUUGCAAGACCAAAGAGGGGGACCUUCGGGCCUCUCACUAUCGGAUGAACCCAGAUGGGAUUAGCUAGUAGGCGGGGUAACGGCCCACCUAGGCGACGAUCCCUAGCUGGUCUGAGAGGAUGACCAGACACACUGGAACUGAGACACGGUCCAGACUCCUACGGGAGGCAGCAGUGGGGAAUAUUGCACAAUGGGCGCAAGCCUGAUGCAGCCAUGCCGCGUGUAUGAAGAAGGCCUUCGGGUUGUAAAGUACUUUCAGCGGGGAGGAAGGCGAUGUGGUUAAUAACCGCGUCGAUUGACGUUACCCGCAGAAGAAGCACCGGCUAACUCCGUGCCAGCAGCCGCCGUAA
rnacentral:rRNA from 1 species